GGAUGGAGACUUGUCAGCGUUUUUUAACGUAAGUGGGUCUCCAUAGUUUGAGUGACGUAAAAUUUCUGUUGUUAGUUUUUGGAGAAUAAACAAUUAAUAAAUGAUUUUAUUGAAAUAGAAAUAGCAAUUUUGUAUUAUUUCCUAGCAGAAUUCAUUGAAUUUUCAAUGCUUCGAUAAACGCACGAAAAAACUUACGACAACCAUCUUAGCUCUUGCGAACGUAAACAACAUGGAAAAAUCAAGGUGGCAAGGGCAGUUCGUGAAGUCUGUUACCGCAAAUAGAUAGAACAUUUGUCGCCAAAGUCCAGUGAAAAGGAUGGGAGAAAAGCAUUGUUCUUUUACAGCAUGAUUAUGCAAUUUCCUGAGUUUUCCUCCGAUUAAGACAACAACAGCAUCGUUCUACACCUGGCACUGACAGACGACGCGACAUGUCAAAUGACAAUAAUACUGUCGCACACGAAGAAAAUAUAAUGACGACUAUCAAAAUUUAGGAAGCAAUCAACAGUACUGAUGGAGAUGAAAGAAGGAUAAAAUUUCAAGUCUGAGAUUGCAUUUGAUGAGAUUGAUAUGAUAAUGGUACAUGCACCAGAGCAAACUGUCAAACAACACUCCAGCCAACAACAUUUCCCUCUUGUAUUCUUUGACUUGGAAUCAAAAGGACUAGCUAGAGAUUCUCAUAUUACACAGCUGCCAUGUGUGGUGAAGAAAAGUUUCCCACCUAUACCUUUCUAAAAAUACCUAUAACAGCAAAAUACUCAGAAAUAACAGAAAUCGAAAAUGUUAAUGGAAAUGUGUUUAGCAAAAAUUAAAAAUGUAGAAGUCAAUCCUUGGAAAAUGGAUGCUCCUCUUGAUUUUGUUUAAAAAUUUCAAACUAGAGUAAUUCUGCAUUUACAAUAGCAAUGUAUGAAUGUUAACAAAUAUGAAUGUUUAUUGUAUACUAUACUCAAUUUAACAUGUUCUGUUUAUGAGAGAGAGAGAGAGAGAGAGAGAGAGAGAGAGAGAGAGAGAGAGAGAGAGAGAGAGAUUAUUGCAAGAAUUGGAAAGUAACUGCAAAAAUUAUGUGCAAACUCCACCAGUAAUGAUGUACACGGUGGUGAUAUUGUUCUCUGAAUUUUGAUAUAAAUUAAUGUACAUGUACCAAAUGAAAUUAUCCUAUUAAAUUUCCAUUUUCAUUUCAAAUGAAAAUGAGUCAAUUUCAA